rnacentral:rRNA from 1 species
CAGUCGCCGCGGGAAUACGAAGGGUGCAAGCGUUACUCGGAAUUACUGGGCGUAAAGCGUGCGUAGGUGGUGGUUUAAGUCCGUUGUGAAAGCCCUGGGCUCAACCUGGGAAUUGCAGUGGAUACUGGGUCACUAGAGUGUGGUAGAGGAUAGUGGAAUUUCCGGUGUAGCAGUGAAAUGCGUAGAGAUCGGAAGGAACAUCUGUGGCGAAGGCGACUAUCUGGGCCAACACUGACACUGAGGCACUAAAGCGUGGGGAGCAAACAGGAUUAGAUACCCGAGUAGUCCCUGUCUCUUAUAC